rnacentral:rRNA from 1 species
AGAGCGAACGCUGGCGGCAGGCCUAACACAUGCAAGUCGAGCGCCCCGCAAGGGGGAGCGGCAGACGGGAGAGUAACACGUGGGAACGUACCCUUCAGUUCGGAACAACCCAGGGAAACUUGGGCUAAUACCGAAUACGUCCGUAAGGAGAAAGAUUUAUCGCUGAAGGAUCGGCCCGCGUCUGAUUAGCUUGUUGGUGAGGUAACGGCUCACCAAGGCGACGAUCAGUAGCUGGUCUGAGAGGAUGAUCAGCCACAUUGGGACUGAGACACGGCCCAAACUCCUACGGGAGGCAGCAGUGGGGAAUAUUGGACAAUGGGCGCAAGCCUGAUCCAGCCAUGCCGCGUGAGUGAUGAAGGCCCCAGGGUUGUAAAGCUCUUUCGCACGCGAGGAUGAUGACGCUAGCGUGAGAAGAAGCCCCGGCUAACUUCGUGCCAGCAGCCGC